GACGAACGCUGGCGGCGUGCUUAACACAUGCAAGUCGAACGGAAAGGCCCUGCUUUUGUGGGGUGCUCGAGUGGCGAACGGGUGAGUAACACGUGAGUAACCUGCCCUUGACUUUGGGAUAACUUCAGGAAACUGGGGCUAAUACCGGAUAGGAUCUCCUGCUGCAUGGUGGGGGUUGGAAAGUUUCGGCGGUUGGGGAUGGACUCGCGGCUUAUCAGCUUGUUGGUGAGGUAGUGGCUUACCAAGGCUUUGACGGGUAGCCGGCCUGAGAGGGUGACCGGCCACAUUGGGACUGAGGUACGGCCCAGAAUCCUACGGGAGGCAGCAGUGGGGAAUAUUGCACAAUGGGCGGAAGCCUGAUGCAGCAACGCCGCGUGCGGGAUGACGGCCUUCGGGUUGUAAACCGCUUUCGCCUGUGACGAAGCGUGAGUGACGGUAAUGGGUCAAGAAGCACCGGCUAACUACGUG
rnacentral:rRNA from 1 species